GUCCCAAUAGUUUAAAUAAUAAAUAAUGGUCUUGUAAACCAAAGAUAAACACUUGUUUUUGGGCCC
rnacentral:tRNA from 1 species